CCUUAACCCCGAUGGGAACGGCAUCCUCCUGACUGGUGAACGAACCAGACAGGAGAUAUAGUGGACAGCGGGACCCAAU
rnacentral:sRNA from 1 species